ensembl:miRNA MIR541 microRNA 541
AAGUCAGGGAAAGGAUUCUGCUGUCGGUCCCACUCCACGACUCGCAGACGGGUGGUGGGCACAGAAUCCAGACUCUGCUUAUG